rnacentral:rRNA from 1 species
CGCGUAGGUGGUUGUGUAAGUCAGAUGUGAAAUCCCCCGGCUCAACUGGGGAACUGCAUUUGAUACUGCAUGACUCGAGUGCAGCAGAGGGAAACGGAAUUCCUGGUGUAGAGGUGAAAUUCGUAGAUAUCAGGAGGAACACCGGUGGCGAAGGCGGUUUCCUGGGCUGACACUGACACUGAGGCGCGAAAGCGUGGGUAGCAAACAGGAUUAGAUACCCUGGUAGUCCACGCUGUAAACGGUGAAUACUGGGUGUGGGAGGUGUAAUGCCUUCUGUGCCGAAGCUAACGCGUUAAGUAUUCCGCCUGGGGAGUACGGCCGCAAGGUUGAA